AAACAAUUAAAAAAAAGGUAACAUACACAUAUUCUGGAUGAAACCAAGCAGGGAGCAGAGGAGCAGUGGACUACAGAUAAAUCCUAAACAAUGACACAGACUGAAGACAAAGAAAAAAGCAGAAUGGUAUGUUCAGGAUCUCCUGGGAUCCUGAGUGGCGCAGCGGUCUAAAAGCAUUAUCUUAGUGCUAGAGGCAUCACUACAGACACCCUGGUUUGAAUCCAGGCUGUAUCACAACCGGCCGUGAUUGGGAGUCCCAUAGGGCGGCGCACAAUUGUCCCAGCGUCGUCCGGGUUUGGACGGUGUAGGCCGUCAUUGUAAGUAAGAAUUGGUUCUUAACUACAUUUACAUUUACAUUUUAGUCAUUUAGCAGACGCUCUUAUCCAGAGCGACUUACAGUAGUGAAUGCAUACAUUUCAUUUUUUUCAUUUCAUACAUUUUUUUCGUACUUGGCCCCCCGUGGGAAUAUAACCCACAACCCUGGCGUUGCAAACACCAUGCUCUACCAACUGAGCUACAGGGAAGGCUGACUUGCCUAGUUAAAUAAAGCUUACAUUAAAACUAUAUAUAUAUAUUUGCUUCGUGUGUUUAAUCGUGAUUUUUUUCACAUAACAAACCUCUCUAUGUUCUAAUGUUCCGUGCCCUCUGCUCUGAACCCUUGUGAGUUUUUUAUUUUUUUUAUUUUACUGUACUUGUACAAUAAAAUUUGGAAACUUAUUGGAUGCUGUCAAUAAUGUCUGAUCCCUGGUUCUGACCCUACUAUCAGUAAUAGAGAUCCCUGUCAGUUAUAGAGAUCACUGUGACUAAUAGAGAUCACUGUGACUAAGAGAUCACUGUGAUUAAUAGAGAAUACUGUGACUAAUAGAGAUCACUGUGAUUAAUAGAGAUCACUGUGACUAAUAGAGAUCACUGUGACUAAUAGAGAUCACUGUGACUAAUAGAGAUCACUGUGACUAACAGAGAUCAC
rnacentral:lncRNA from 1 species